ACUAUUUUGGCAGAUAAGUGUAAUAGACUUAGAAUCUAUAAAUGUAGUUAAUAUUACAGAUAGUA
rnacentral:tRNA from 1 species